GGCUCAGGAUGAACGCUGGCGGUCUGCUUAACACAUGCAAGUCGAACGGGAGUAGCAAUACUCCAGUGGCGGACGGGUGAGUAACGCGUGAGAAUCUGCCUUUUGGUCGGGGACAACCACUGGAAACGGUGGCUAAUACCGGAUGUGCCUGCGGGUAAAAGAUUAAUUGCCAGAAGAGGAGCUCGCGUCUGAUUAGCUAGUUGGUAGGGUAAAAGCCUACCAAGGCAUCGAUCAGUAGCUGGUCUGAGAGGACGAUCAGCCACACUGGGACUGAGACACGGCCCAGACUCCUACGGGUGGCAGCAGUGGGGAAUUUUCCGCAAUGGGCGAAAGCCUGACGGAGCAAGACCGCGUGAGGGAAGAAGGCUCUUGGGUCGUAAACCUCUUUUGUUAGGGAAGAACACAAUGACGGUACCUAACGAAUCAGCCUCGGCUAACUCCGUGCCAGCAGCCGCGGUAAUACGGAGGAGGCAAGCGUUAUCCGGAAUUAUUGGGCGUAAAGCGUCCGCAGGUGGCGAUUCAAGUCUGCGGUCAAAGACUGGGGCUUAACCCUGGAAAGGCCGUGGAAACUGAAAAGCUAGAGUGCAGUAGGGGUAGAGGGAAUUCCCGGUGUAGCGGUGAAAUGCGUAGAGCUCGGGAAGAACAUCGGUGGCGAAAGCGCUCUGCUGGACUGCAACUGACACUCAGGGACGAAAGCUAGGGGAGCGAAUGGGAUUAGAUACCCCAGUAGUCCUAGCCGUAAACGAUGGAUACUAGGUGUGGCUUGUAUCGACCCGAGCCGUGCCGUAGCUAACGCGUUAAGUAUCCCGCCUGGGGAGUACGCACGCAAGUG
rnacentral:rRNA from 1 species